rnacentral:lncRNA from 1 species
UUUUUAAAAAGACACACAAAAAUACAACAUGACUACAAAAUACAAUCAUUUAUACCAAAAUGCCCCCUACAUAAAUAUGUCCAUGUAAAAGGGAACAUCAUGCAAAGGGUCAACAUAGAAUUAGAAUCCUAUAAAUUUUAAAUAGUAAAGUGGUUUUGUAUUCUCUGAAGAUAACUGGCAAGGAGAGAGGCAGCUAUUGUACUGAUGUGUGCUGCUGGGCAACAGAAGAAGCUGUCUGCCAUUGAACUUGGUGUGCAUGAAAUAAGUGAGAAUAGCUCAGGCCUACGUGUGAAGAACCCCAUGAAGGGCCCACACUCCCUGUGUGUGACUGCCAAGCAGAAGGGUUACAAAAGUGAAAAGGAAGCCAUCCUGCCCUCAAAGAGCUCUUGGUCACUAGAGAAUCCAGCCUGUACAUAAUGACAACAAAGUAUCAUGUCAGAAUAGAGGAGAAUCCAAGUUACAGUAACCAAAGGAAGGAAGGAAUGAGCUACAUUCCAGGCAGGAGUCAGGAUCACUGGUCAGAAAAGAGGCCACAUGAGUUUUUGGGGUUUUUUUGUUUUUGUUUUUGUUUUGUUUGUUUGUUUUGUGUGUGUUUACUAGAGGUGGAACCCAGGGCCUCAUACAUGCCAGGCAAGCACUCUACCACUGAGCUACAUCCCCAGUCUUUUCUUUUCUUUUUUUUUUUUAAAUAUCUUUAUUUUUAUGUGGUGCUGAGGAUUAAAUCCAGGGCCUCACACCUGCGAGGCAAGUGUUCUACCACAGAGCUACAGCCCCCACCCCAGCCCUGGUCCUUUUUAUUUUUUGAGACCAGGCUUCCUUAAGUUGCUGAGGCUGGCCUGGAACUUGUGAUCCUCCUGCCUCCAUCUCCUGAGUAGCUGGGAUUUGAGUCACCAUACCCAGCUGAGUUGUUUUUGUUUAUUUGUUUGUUUUGUUUUAAUCAAACUGCCACAUUUGCACAGUAUAGCACUUCCAAGUACAUUAUUAUCUCAUUCAUCCUUAUGAUGACCCUGUGAGGCAGGUUGAGAUCAUUUUCACACAGGUGAGAAAAAUAGAGGUUAUGAUUUGCCAAGUUACAUUCAGUAAGUGGACAGAAUUCAAUUCCUCAGACUUAAAACUAUGAUGUAUUAAGCUAACACUGAGCACUUUGUUUGUGGUGUGUUAGCAUUAUCUCAUUUAAUCCUUGUAGCAACUAUUCUUUGCAAUCCUCUUUUUAUAAAUUGAGGAAACCAAGGCUUAUAGAAGUAAAUAACUUACCCAAAUCAGGAUAUUUGAUAUUUAUUUUUUAGUUAUAAUUGAACACAAUAUCUUUAUUUUAUUUUUAUGUGGUGCUGAGGAUCGAACCCCGGGCCUUGCACAUGCUAGGCAAGCGCUCUACCACUGAGCCACAAUCCCAGCCCCCCAAAUCAGGAUUUUAAUUUGACUGUUACUCAGACCCUGAACAUAACAACUCUGUUGUACUCAACUGCUUCCCAUGCUUAUGCAAGUAAGUACUUAACAUUUUAUAAGUAAUCAAGCUAGGCACUUUGUGUACACCUUUAAUCCCAGUGACUCAGGAGGCUGAGGCAGGAGGCCCAACCAGCCUGGUCAACUGAGCAAGACCCCGUCUCUAAAGAAUAAAAAGGGCUGAGGAUGUGGCUCAGUGAUAAAAUACCCCCAGGGUUCAAUCCCCAGUACCCCCCCAAAAAAAAUUUUUUUUCAUCAAUUAUCCAAAUUGUCAGGGUGCAAAAUGCUUGGAAAAGCCUUUAUAUUAGCCAUAGCUCAGAAUCUCUCCAUGGCUAUUUACCAACUCUCUAAUCUUUUUUUUUUUUUUUUUUAACUGGGAACUUAACCCAGGAGUGUUUUACCACUGAGCUACAUCUCCAGACCUUUUUAUUUGUUUGUUUGCUUGUUUGUUUUUUGAGACAGGGCCUCUCUAAAUUGCUAAAACUGACCUUGAACUUUCGAUCUUCCUGCCGCAGCCUCCCAAGUCACUGGGAUUAUAGGCAUGGCUCACCAACUUUCUAACCUUAAAAUAAGUUACAUAAGAUUUCUUACCUUGUUUCCUCAUCCAUAGUGUAGGAAUCGCACAGACCUGAUUACCCUGGUUAUUUUUGCUCACAAUCUACAUAUGCUUCUUUUGUUUUGCAUUUAAUCCAAUUUGUAAUUCAUUACUGUUGUCUGCCUUUACUUGUAGAAUAUAAACUCAAUGAAGUCCAGGAUGAUGGAUAUGUGUCUUGCUCUCCAUUGUAUCCCUACUGCACAGCACAGUUACUUAUUUGUUCAAUACCAUAACUCAUCCCGGGAAGAAAGAACAGUGUUCUCACUUUUCUUGCUACUUGAUAUAUGACUUCCCUGGAAGGAUUCUGACAGAAGUAACCAGGACCAUCUCCUGCCAAAGGAAGUGAGAUGGCAUUGGCAGCCCUACUAGAAUCUAGCGUGUGACAGUUACACAGGACCUUGCACUCAGCAGGUGGUUUAACACUCUGUUGUCACUGUCUUGAAAUUCUCAAUAGUUUUUCAACAUAGGGCUCUUCAUUUUCAUUUCACAAUGGGUCCUGAAACGUAUAUCGAAAUAUAAAAUCUGGUACAAUAUCACAAUCAGGAUAUUGACCAUUUGGAAUGGAGGUAGAAAGGGGAAGAAAGGGGAACAGGAGGUAACAUUUCCACCAAAACAAGGCAGGGGAACUCUGGAAAGAUCAGAACAACAAACAAUGCAGAUGUGUGUCCAGCUGCUCACUAGAGUGUGCACUCCUUGAAGACAAAGCCAAGUUCUCAGGGUGAAGCAUGAAAGCAUGCCAAAACAUACCUAAUACUUUCUUUUCAUUAAUCUUAUUAUUUUGAAAUAGUUGUAAAUUCUAAG